rnacentral:sRNA from 1 species
UUGCGGACGGACGCGGGUUGGGGUCGCAU